UUAAGAUGUACGAUCCAUGUGAAUGAGCAUUAAUAGACAGGAGCUGCAGCCUUGUUGCCAUGAUCAAAACCACCGUGACCAUAGGUCAUUAUUUUAAAGUCUCACAAAGCCUUAUCUCUGUGGAAAUCCUUUAAAUGUCAUUUCUAAAAUGCCGUGACUGCCCAUCUGACAAGUAGGCAUGUCGUACAGUACUGCAUGACUACAGUUGGACCUACUUGGCCCAUCCUUUUUUUAAAACUUCUGCACUGUUGAAAGAAAC